AAAAAUACUAACACAGUUUCUUCUGCUGUACUUCAUCAUCUGCUCGCUUCAAUGCUGCUCUUCUACCUGCAAGUUUCAGAACAUAUCACAGUUUCAGGUGAAACACCAGGAAGUGUAUUCACCACUGGAUGAUCAGCCUUGUUGGCACAUCAUUUGUGAGAUCAUCCAGCCAACUUCUCUGUCUGGGCUUUUCUACAUCCUACAUUUUCAAUCUUCAGUACCAGGAUGCAUGUGCACUGGAAUUCAUUCAAAGGCUGUUCAUCGGGAUAAAUCCAGAGAUAGGCACCACGGCUGGACGAGGCAAGAAAAAGAUCACGUCCGUAAACGCUUGUGUCUCCAGACUACUGAAGAAACUGAUGGACAUUGACUGG